GUCUGAUGUGAAAUCUUGCGGCUUAACCGCAAGCGGUCAUUGGAAACUGGGGAACUUGAGUACAGAAGAGGAGAGUGGAAUUCCACGUGUAGCGGUGAAAUGCGUAGAUAUGUGGAGGAACACCAGUGGCGAAGGCGACUCUCUGGUCUGUAACUGACGCUGAGGCGCGAAAGCGUGGGGAGCGAACAGGAUUAGAUACCCUGGUAGUCCACGCCGUAAACGAUGAGUGCUAAGUGUUAGGGGGUUUCCGCCCCUUAGUGCUGCAGUUAACGCAUUAAGCACUCCGCCUGGGGAGUACGGCCGCAAGGCUGAAACUCAAAAGAAUUGACGGGGGCCCGCACAAGCGGUGGAGCAUGUGGUUUAAUUCGAAGCAACGCGAAGAACCUUACCAGGUCUUGACAUCCUCUGAGCAUCCUAGAGAUAGGACUUUCCCUUCGGGGACAGAGUGACAGGUGGUGCAUGGUUGUCGUCAGCUCGUGUCGUGAGAUGUUGGGUUAAGUCCCGCAACGAGCGCAACCCUUGAUCUUAGUUGCCAGCAUUAGGUUGGGCACUCUAAGGUGACUGCCGGUGACAAACCGNGAGGAAGGUGGGGAUGACGUCAAAUCAUCAUGCCCCUUAUGACCUGGGCUACACACGUGCUACAAUGGAUGGUACAAAGGGAAGCAAAACCGCGAGGUCAAGCAAAUCCCAUAAAACCAUUCUCAGUUCGGAUUGUAGGCUGCAACUCGCCUACAUGAAGCCGGAAUCGCUAGUA
rnacentral:rRNA from 1 species